GGUGGUGCCGAGCGCGAGCCAGCGGGUCUUUUCUGGCCUCUGCGGCUGCGCGGGCGGGUGCGGUUGCCGGGGACGCGCGGAAGCCGUCUUGGCCUGCAGGCCCAAAACGGACCAGCCUCUUUUGCGGGCCACGUGUUGCGCACAGUCUGGAGAGCGGCCCUAAAUUCGUGUCGCGUCCAGUAGCUCUGAGUGAAUGGCAGCUGCUUUCUUGUCCUGUAGGGCGGCUUUUGGCACUCGGGUGACGAUUUUAAAAUUACUUUUGCUUUCAAUAACUAAUAUUAAAAUUAUAAACGCAAAACCUGGUUAUUCUUAAGUAGUAUAUACCCUGGUUUUUUUUUUUAAAAAAAAAACAUUCUAAGGGGAUUUUUAAGAUAAGUUAAAUUCUAUAAAUCACAUCUCAUAAUCUCAAUAUUACUUAGAGGUGUGGUUAAAUUGUUAUAUACAUAUCGAUUUAUAAUCACUAGUCUGAAUCAGUUACUGUAUUUUCAUUUUAAAAAUGGAAUUGCAAAAUUUAACGUAUUACAUACUUUAGUGCGUUUAGAGUCUCAAACAUUACAAAUGUUUAACAUGCAAAAUUAAAUGGAUGAUUUCAGACUAAUGGAAAAUAAUGCUAUGACUUUGAUUUACUUGUUUCAAUAGUUAAUCCUAAUCUUUUUGGGAUUACAGGUACUUAUCCACUAAGGAAAGAAUUUUCAAGAAAACAGAAUCCAUGAAUGGAUUGCAGAACAAGGGUGUGGUGGCACUCGCCUAUAAUCCCAGGCCGAGGCAGGAGGAUCACAAGUUCUAGGCUAGCCUGGGCAACUUAGUGAGAUCCUGUCUCAAAAUAAAAUUUUAAAAAAGAACUGGAAAUGUAGUAUAGCACUUCUGGGUUCAAUCCCCAGUACCACACACACAAAAAUAACAACACUAGAUUGCAGAAAUAAUUUGUUCAUUCAUGACCAGUAGUUUAAAAAUCAGAAUAAAGAGAAUAAGAAGUAAGUGUAUGUCAAAUAGAGUAAGGAGUAUGUUAUUGUGAAAUUUCUGUUUCAGCUGUAAAUCUGUAUAUCUCUAUAUACAGUGUAUAUACACUGUUAUACACAUAAAUUCAUAUUUUCAUAUUUAUAUAUAUGUGUAUAUACUUGCACUUCUGUGUAUUAAUUCAGGAUAUAAAAAUAACCUGAUAAUCAUUCAGUGAGCCAAAAGAUUACCUCAGUUAUACUUUGGGCAGAUUUGAGCCUGCUGGCUUCAAGGAUGCUGCAAUGAAGUAGUUUGCUGACUGAAGAAAAGUGUAUACUUUAAAAAGUGAGAUACACAUGCUUGUGAUUGAAUGGAGGUAUGGUGUAAAUACUACAAUAAAGUAUUUCUAUGACUU
rnacentral:lncRNA from 1 species